GUCAUCUACCCGCUGAUAUCCUGCCCCCCCUGCGAGGACAAUGUCACCUUCGGCUGCUUGGUCAGCGAUUUUUUCCCCCCACCCGUCACCGUCACAUGGGUUUCCAGCACCACGGGAGCCUUCGAGACCUUCUCGGCCGUGCUGACCGGCAACGGUUACUACAGCCUCAGCACCCAGUUCACCCUCCCCACCAGCAGAUUGGAGGGCAACACCUUCCAGUGUCAGGUGGACCACAGCUCUGCCGGAAGCACCAUCACCAGGGACUUCAGAGGUGAUGAGAUAUGUCCCGUUCCCGUUCCCGUUCACCUGGAGGUAAAGCUCCUGAGCGACCCAAACAAGUACCAGGCUGAGGACAAGGUCCUGCUGCUGUGUCUCAUCGAGGGGAAGAGAAGUGGCGAAGCCCAGGUGGAAUGGUUGAUGAACCGCGAUUUGGUGGACGUGGCCGCGGAGGACUACACCUGUGACCAGUGCUCCAAUAACAAGGGCACCUUCACGAGCCAGGUCAACGUCAGCCGGCAGAGCUGGGACCUGGGGGCCGAGUUCUCUUGCAGAGUGACCCACCCAUCGCUGAAGGAACCAACCGUCGCUGACAUCAGCAGUUUCUGCUCAG